GUGCUCACUUUGGCAGUACAUAGACUAAAAUUAGAAUGAUACAGAGAAGAUUAGCACGGCCCCUGCUCAAGGAUGGCAUGUAAAUUUGUGAAGCGUUCCAUAUUUAG
rnacentral:snRNA from 1 species